rnacentral:lncRNA from 1 species
CCUGCUCAACCGAGUCUCUUCUUAAAGAAUGCUGUUCAUCUUUAUGCCACGUUUGUAUGGACAUCAUAUAAAAAAAUGAAUGGCCUCAUUGAUCUAGAAAGAUUAUACAAAGUUGAGGUGCAGUGGGUUCACCAUAUUUGAUGAAUUGUUUUUAGCAGGGAAGGCAAAAUUCCACUGAAACAUCUGGAGGCUAAACUCAUCUAGAGUUCAGGAUGAAGUCAUAGCUCCCAACAAGAUCUGGAUUGUUCAUUGAUGCUUGGAUUGCCUGAUCACGAUAAGAAUGUGUUGAAAUCAGCAGCUAUGUUUUCUCGGGGAGAUUCAGCUGGCAUUUUCCAUGAAGUUUUGCAGGAAGUGUAUCUUGUACCAUAUUGAGCUCAGUUGUCGGAUAAAGUUUUGUUGGUAGGUCAGAAAGGCUGCUGCAAGUCAUCGGUGUAAAUUUUCUUUUAUUAGUUUCAUUAAGGUCGUCAAUAGUCAGUGUUUCCAAGUAGGAGAAAGAAAAGAACCCAACUUCAUAUACACAUGGAAAGAGGAAAAAUUGUGUUAGAUUAGUUACAGUAUCAUGGGGUUGUUUUGUUGAAGAGCGUAUAUCUCUUCCGAAAUGUCUGAACCACUGAAGAGAUUAUCUCUGUUUUUUUUUU